rnacentral:misc_RNA from 1 species
CACGAACUGGACGAACGUUAUUCGGAAUCACUGGGCUUAAAGCGUGCGUAGGAGGCCUGGAAGGUGGGGUGUGAAAUCCCUCGGCUCAACCGAGGAAUUGCGCUCCAACCCGUCAGGCUUGAGGGAGAUAGAGGCGAGCGGAACUAAUGGUGGAGCGGUGAAAUGCGUUGAUAUCAUUAGGAACACCGGUGGCGAAAGCGGCUCGCUGGGUCUCUACUGACGCUGAGGCACGAAAGCUAGGGGAGCGAACGGG